rnacentral:sRNA from 1 species
GCAACGGCAAAAUCCGUUGCCGAGAUUGGCGUCUCGGAAUUAAAGUUGGAGCCGACCCACGCCCCUAUUGCGUGGUUUUU